rnacentral:rRNA from 1 species
UAGGGAAUCUUCCACAAUGGACGCAAGUCUGAGGGAGCAACGCCGCGUGAGUGAAGAAGGUUUUCGGACCGUAAAGCUCUGUUGUUGGUGAAGAAGGAUAGAGGUAGUAACUGGCCUUUAUUUGACGGUAAUCAACCAGAAAGUCACGGCUAACUACGUGCCAGCAGCCGCGGUAAUACGUAGGUGGCAAGCGUUGUCCGGAUUUAUUGGGCGUAAAGCGAGCGCAGGCGGAAGAAUAAGUCUGAUGUGAAAGCCCUCGGCUUAACCGAGGGAUUGCAUCGGAAACUGUUUUCUUGAGUGCAGAAGAGGAGAGUAGAACUCCAUGUGUAGCGGUGGAAUGCGUAGAUAUAUGGAAGAAUACCAGUGGCGAAGGCGGCUCUCUGGUCUGCAACUGACGCUGAGGCUCGAAAGCAUGGGUAGCGAACAGGAUUAGAUACCCUGGUAGUCCAUGCCGUAAACGAUGAGUGCUAAGUGUUGGGAGGCUUCCGCCUCUCAGUGCUGCAGCUAACGCAUUAAGCACUCCGCCUGGGGGAGUACGACCGCAAGGUUGAAAC